rnacentral:rRNA from 1 species
GACAGAGGGUGCAAACGUUGCUCGGAAUCACUGGGCGUAAAGGGCGCGUAGGCGGCCGAUUAAGUCGGGGGUGAAAGCCUGUGGCUCAACCACAGAAUUGCCUUCGAUACUGGUUGGCUUGAGACCGGAAGAGGACAGCGGAACUGCGAGUGUAGAGGUGAAAUUCGUAGAUAUUCGCAAGAACACCAGUGGCGAAGGCGGCUGUCUGGUCCGGUUCUGACGCUGAGGCGCGAAAGCGUGGGGAGCAAACAGG